rnacentral:lncRNA from 1 species
GAAUAAGAAUAAUAUCACAGAAUGAAAAAAAUUUAAGUAAACACAAAGAUUACAUAAAGUCUAACAUUGAAAAAGAUGUAACUUCAUGACAAAAAAUACAUUGUAAAUAAAUAUUACAAGAUGAGAUUUUUCAUGUACAAACACAUGAAUUUUUGUAUGUCACAAAUUCAUAUCAUAUACAUGUACAUGUUUCAAUUCAUGUAUAGAUACUAGACCACUUUCAAGUUUUGUCCUUCAUCAUAAACGUUUGUCAAUUAUGAAUGCUUGUAUGACAUCAUUUCCCAGAUAGAGGAUCCCCUGUAUCCCUGCUCAUUUAAGGUUCAUCAAAUGUCUUCCAGAUUGUCAUUAUGCAGGAUAAACUAGAAAUAAUGUUUGUUCCAUACAUACCUAAUCACUUUUCCUUAAGGAUGUUCGCUACUCUGUUUAAAAAUAACAAGCUUUUUAAAAGACUGUUAUAAAUUGAAAGUAUAUAAAUAAAGAAAAUAAAAAAGCAUAAAAAAAGGAGAGCCGUGUGCUUGUUUUUCGAGUAUAAGCCGUUGAAAAUUUGGCGGGAAAUAAUUCUCUCUAGAUUUUUCUUUCGCUUAACAUUGGCACCUUUUUGUUUAAAAAACUAGGAAAAAAUAACAAGGAUUUCAUAAGAUUUUGAAAUAGGACUUUUGAAAUAAUAUGUAAUAAAAAUAUGAAAAGAAAAGUAGGUGUAAGUGGGCAAAUUUUCUAAAUGUUUAAUACAUGGAUAAAACCGGAGGAUUCCGAAAAUCUGGCAAAAAUUCAAAAAGUAGAGGAGCCAACAUCCUUAAUGACAGCAAUGCUGAUUAUCCAUUAUAAGAAUUCAAUUUGCCGAAUAAUUUGUGUGAUACAGUAUUACAUUUUUUCAACUGAUCCCUCAACAUGGGAAGGGAGUGACGACACCCCUAAACAAUGAAUGAUCUUUACUUUAACCAAACUCUUUGGAGGAAAUAAAAAGAACUCGAAAGUGGUCUAUUAAAUGGAAUCAAUGUCUUAAUGAUGUGUAAUUAAUCAUCAGUUAAAAGUUUAGUAAAAUGAAUUGAAAGGUGAAUUUAUAAAGAUUUUAUAAAAUUAUGACAGGCUGCCCUUUGUAUUGAUUAAUAUAAAUCUAAACAGGAAGGGUCAUCUUUAUGUAAAAGUAAUGUACAUAUUGGUCGGUCUGUAAUGUGAAAUGGUAGUCUACUGCUAGCUGUUAGUCUCACUUUAAUCUUAAUGACAAUUUCUGUAUUAAAUACAACAUAUGAAAUAAAAAUGUAAUUUAGUAUUGUGCUACAAGAUUUUCCUAGGUUUAAAAUAAGUUGUUCCUUGUCUUGUCAUCCUAUGCAUACCAUACUUGAAACUCAAACUAUCUAAACAGGAAGUGAGUGUAAAACAGAUCUGAAAAUAGUACAUGCAUCACAACCGUUCACUGUUGGGCUGCUGACCAAAUAUGAUGGUUCUUUUUUUUACAGUGGUGGAUCCAGGGGGAGGGUUCCAGGGGUUGGAAACCCCCAUUUUUUUUUUAGACGAUCAAUGCAUUUGAAUGUGGAUAAAUUGGCUGGAUCUGCCCCUGUUUUAUGUCAACUGUCCUGAGCUAUAAAAGAUUUAACGUGAUAAAUCCACUUCCAAUAUAAAAACCCUGUAUAAGGCACAAUUGAUUAAAAAAAUAUGAAUACUGUAAAUACCCCAAAAAUUAGGGUAUAUAUAUUUAGAUGGUUGAACAAUGUACAAAAAUGGAGGAUUAAUUAUUGCAAUUUUAGGGAAGGCUGCAUGUUGAAAAUGCUAUCAAAAUUAAAAAAGAAACUUUUUAUUUUUGCCACACUUAUGCUGUAACAAUGUUUGCAAGGAUAAAAACCUCCAAAAAAAUUCUGAAUUUCAUAGUAUACAGCAAAACAUAUGAAAAUGAACCUGGGAAUUGCACCUUUGUUUUUGAAGAUUGUAAAUAAGUUUAAAAAAAAACUGUAAAAUUAUC